rnacentral:rRNA from 1 species
AUUGAACGCUGGCGGCAUGCCUUACACAUGCAAGUCGAACGGUAACAGGUCUUCGGAUGCUGACGAGUGGCGAACGGGUGAGUAAUACAUCGGAACGUGCCUAGUAGUGGGGGAUAACUACUCGAAAGAGUGGCUAAUACCGCAUGAGAUCUACGGAUGAAAGCAGGGGAUCGCAAGACCUUGUGCUACUAGAGCGGCCGAUGGCAGAUUAGGUAGUUGGUGGGAUAAAAGCUUACCAAGCCGACGAUCUGUAGCUGGUCUGAGAGGACGAUCAGCCACACUGGGACUGAGACACGGCCCAGGCUCCUACGGGAGGCAGCAGUGGGGAAUUUUGGACAAUGGGCGGAAGCCUGAUCCAGCAAUGCCGCGUGCAGGAUGAAGGCCUUCGGGUUGUAAACUGCUUUUGUACGGAACGAAAAGCCCUGGGUUAAUACCCUGGGGUCAUGACGGUACCGUAAGAAUAAGCACCGGCUAACUACGUGCCAGCAGCCGCAGUAAUAC